AGGUUUGUAUUUUAAGUUAAAAUUUUUAGUUUGCAAUUAAUUGAUGCACUAUGCCAAGCCUG
rnacentral:tRNA from 1 species